rnacentral:rRNA from 1 species
GUGCCAGCCGCCGCGGUAAUACGUAGGGGGCAAGCGUUGUCCGGAAUUAUUGGGCGUAAAGAGCGUGUAGGCGGUCCGGUAAGUCAGCUGUGAAAGUCAAGGGCUCAACCCUUGAAAGCCGGUUGAUACUGUCGGGCUAGAGUCCGGAAGAGGCGAGUGGAAUUCCCGGUGUAGCGGUGAAAUGCGCAGAUAUCGGGAGGAACACCAAUGGCGAAGGCAGCUCGCUGGGACGGUACUGACGCUGAGACGCGAAAGCGUGGGGAGCAAACAGGAUUAGAUACCCUGGUAGUCC